rnacentral:rRNA from 1 species
GCCUACGGGAGGCAGCAGGGGGAAUAUUGGACAAUGGGCGAAAGCCUGAUCCAGCCAUGCCGCGUGUGUGAAGAAGGUCUUCGGAUUGUAAAGCACUUUAAGUUGGGAGGAAGGGUUGUAGAUUAAUACUCUGCAAUUUUGACGUUACCGGCAGAAUAAGCACCGGCUAACUCUGUGCCAGCAGCCGCGGUAAU